CCUACGGGAGGCAGCAGUGAGGAAUAUUGGUCAAUGGGCGGGAGCCUGAACCAGCCAAGCCGCGUGAGGGAAGAAGGUACAGCGUAUCGUAAACCUCUUUUGUCAGGGAACAAAGGCGGGGACUAGUCCCCGGAUCAGGGUACCUUAAGAAAAAGCAUCGGAAAACUUCGUGCCAGUAGCCGCGGUAAUCCGGAGGAUGCGAGCGUUAUCCGGAUUUAUUGGGUUAAAAGGGUGCGCAGGCGGCCUGUUAAGUCAGCGGUAAAAGCCCGGGGCUAAACCCCGGCGAGCCGUUGAAACUGGCGGGCUGGAGUUGGAGAGAAGUACGCGGAAUGCGCGGUGUAGCGGUGAAAUGCUUAGAUAUCGCGCAGAACCCCGAUUGCGAAGGCAGCGUACCGGCUCCACACUGACGCUGAGGCACGAAAGCGUGGGUAUCGAACAGGAUUAGAUACCCGAGUAGUC
rnacentral:rRNA from 1 species